UUGGGUGCGAGGAGCCCCCCAUCCGCCCCGGACCAUCGCCCCUGCAGCGGUGAGUGGAGCAGCAGAGCCUUUGUGCCCCCCUGACCUUAUUGCUGUAUAAAAUGGCUUGGUUCAAAGACAAAAGGGGAACAAAAAAAAAAACAAAAACACACAUUUUGGGGAGAAACGGGGUGGGAAAAACAACCUGACGUGUUCUACAGCCCAGGCCUUGGGCCAGGCACAGUGAUGGGGCGGCCGCAGCCCUCCCUUCCCCCUGCUUGCUUUGGAAACGGGCGGGGGCUCGGCGGGGGCAGCGAGCGGAGCUGGGGGGGCGAGGGGACAGCGAGCAGCAGCCUUACCCCAGCCCCCGCCACCCCAUAAAGCGAAGCAGAGCCACGGGAAGCCCCCUCCCCACGAGGACGGCGGCUCCCAAAGCGCUAAAGCCUGGACCCGGCGGCGGCAAAAUCUCAGCCCUGGCAGAAGCGAAGCUGCUCCCACCCCCCCCACCCCUCAUCGCGUGCCCCCCACCCCACGCCGUGAUGUCCACGUGUGCGAGCGCCUUAUUGCGAGUUAAUUCCACGAGAGAAGAAAGCGGAGAGGGAAGGGGAACGUCGCUGGGGCACGGCCGGGCUGCUCCGAGCUCUCGCCUCCGCCGCCUCCAGCCGUCGCACGAAGAACGGGAGCGAGCCGCUUGCCUUGUUUUGUUUGUUUUUUUUUGUUUUGUUUUGUUUUAGUGCAAGAAAUGCUGCCCAUGCAUGGGAAUCUGGGUGGCCGGCGCUCGCCGCUCACCCCCCUCCCUCCCGGCCGGUGUUGGGGCCGGGGAACGUCCCCGUGCCGGCAGGACCGGACCCGUGCCGAGGCUGCGGGACGGUGCCGAUCGGUGCAGGAGGACGCGGCGGUGGCGGAUGCUCCCGGUGGGUUUGGGGACGCCGAAUUUCCCCUCGUCCCUUUGGGUUCUGGAGCCGUGGAGCAGGACCAGGAUUUCACCUGCCCGUCCCGAAUUUGCUGGAGGCACAGGAGGGGACACUCCAUGCGUGGACACGGCCGGGCCCUGCUGCUGCUCACACCGACGGUGCCUCGCUCGGGCGUCCGGACCCCCCCGGGGGUUGCGGGUCCCAGCUGGGGGGCUGGAGGGGCACGAGGGGAUGCGACGGAGGGGGACGGUGCAGGGCGCGGGGCCAGCACGCCCGUGCUCGCUCCCGAAACGUCGCCUUAAAGUUUAUAGCCCCCGCUCUCCUCCUCCGCCCGCGGCUCCGGCUCCUCGCGGCCCCCGUCCUCCGGCACCCCGUUGAGGUGGGACUUGCUGGGGCCCGGCCGCUCGCCCCCAUCCGUGAAGGGGCCGGGUCGGGGCUGGGGGGAGGCGGUGGCCGCGGCCCCGUUGCCGCUGGCCCCUUCGGACUUGCCGAAAUUGAAGAGCUUGCCGGGGUUGAAUGGCUUGGUGGGCGACUGGACCUUCUCGGUCCCCGCGUCCCUCUUAGUCUCAGGGGAUUUCAGGAACUUGAAGCUGAGG
rnacentral:lncRNA from 1 species